ACAGUCAAAACAUUUCUACUUUAUUUCACCUAUUCGGGCACAUCGCUAAGUCUAAGAAUCUGAGCAGCUCCUCGCUCAGAACUCAUUCUCAUGAGAGAUGGUAUUACACCAUCACAACACCUCUUCCCUUUAGACAAAACUACUAUCUUCUGAAGGUUAAAUGUUGACAUUCAACUAGCCUAAACUGAACCUUUCAUUUAAUAUGUCUUGCUUAAUCAGAUCACAAAAACAAUACUCAUAUCCAAGCUCAUGGAUGACGAGUAGUUUUAUAGAUUACAAACAGUUAUAUAUUUUGUUUACAUUAGAUAACUAUAACCUAAUAGUUAUUUAUGCAACAAGUUGCAAAAUGAUGAUUUUUUUAGCACGAGUUGUAGGUUUAUCCAACGAGGCUUGCCGAGUUGGAUAAAUACGACGAGUGCUGAAAAAAUCGAGUUUUGCAACGCGUUGCAUACAAAGUUUUUUGUAAUUGCAAAAAUUCCCGUACAGUAUAAUCUCUCUAGCCACACAAACGUGUAUCAGCAGCAACCACGUGCGAGCCUCCAUGCUCGCACGGACAGGACGUAGUGCAUAGUAUUUUCUUCGAUCAGGUAGGCUAUGGUGGGCCAACUGUCGCAAGUUUUCAAGCUCCCGUCGUCGUCAUGCAGCAUCAUGAGCAAAAGCAAAAGUAGGUUCAGCUUCUGCUUCUACACCUGAUUGGCAGUUCAAAUCAGAAUCUGAAUCGUCCUGAUUCGGAUUCGAACUGAUCAGUGCAUGUAGAAGCAGCAACUGUAUCUACGGAAGUAGCGGUACUAAACAAAAAGUGUGUGCUAGCAAAAGUGCCGAAAAGUGAUACUUUUCAGCACUCUAAAGAGUGCCGAAAAGUAGUACUUUUCGGCACCUUUGCUCCAGUGAAGAAAAGUAGGCCGUUUUAUCAUUGUUACCGCGAGUGAAAAGUAGGGGAAUUCGCAACGCAAUUACAAAAAACUAUUUUUUUACACGAUAAAUCAUGUUUUAAAAUCGUAAAGCCUGAUGUUAAAAAUCCAAAAAAAACACUGUCAUUUUUUACAAUCUUUACACUUGGUGCAAUCACCCUAGAAGUAGAAGCAGAGAUGAAAACGAAAUACAUGUAUGUAAAUAACACUUUGUAGACACAAUUCACACAGGAUAACGAUCAGUCGGUUCCGUAGGUUGUCUGAGUUUCACAAUCUGUCCUCCAGUGUCAGCGACAGCCGACUGUGAUCAUUUCCGACGAACUUGUCUCCAGUAUGCAAUUCCCAUUAAUUAGUAUCAAUUCACCAUUUGAUUCUUGGUAUACACAACCCGACGAGAAUGCGCUGCAUACAUAUGUGUCGUUUCGCUGCUGACUAGUCCAGUCUCCUUCCAUCUGAAGUCCCAGCGCUCACACCAGCUAGCUUCGCGAGAACUUGUAGCACUCAAAGCUCAUCGUCGUUCACAAAGUCUAACGGGUGUCGCGUGCACUCGUUCGAUGGUGUCGUCGUCGUGCUUGUACUAUGAGAUUGAUUUUAGGUACUCAUGCUCACCAUGAGCAAAUGGAUAUAAUAAAUACAGAGCAUAAAAAGGCAAAAUCCAGCAAAAGAAAACUGACUGGACGAAAAGGAAUCAUCGACGAUUCAAAAUGGCCUAGCUCAAAAUGCAAGCAAGAUGUUCUAACAUUACAUCAAAUUAAGAAAAAUGUGCUUUUCAGCCAAUCACUCAAACCAAAACAUGAAUGCCGUCAGGGAAAAAGCAAAAUGUUGUUUCAAAUCAACCACCUGACCAACACCAAAAAAUUGACGAAUAAAAAAGAAACACAAAAAGAUGCCGUCGUGUAAAGUACGGUUUACCCGUACGCCACAAUGUACAACAAAUAGCCCAAAAAUACGCGGAUGAAAUUACACACAAAAUUAUAAAAAAAAAACAAACCAUUUACACAAAUACACGCGUAAGCUUUACAAAAAUAAACUAUACUGAAAACUUUGACUAUUUGGAGAAAAAAAAAUCACGACUCAAGUUCACGUCACAAAAAAAUCACAAAACCGUUGCUCACAAUAAUUGUAAUUGUAAUUGUAAUUGUAAUUGCUCAGUCCACACCCAGGCCGACAACUGUCAGCCCAUCUGCUUGUAGACAGAUGUGGACCUACUAAGCCUCCCCCGUUAACAUGUCCUACACCGAAUUAGCACACCGGGAUCUUCCACAGGCAGGCGCUGGCGUUACCAGUCCCAACAAGUGUCAGAUACAUGAAAUAGAUGGGGUAGAGGAUAUAGGAAGAUGUGGGAAUAGGAUGGAAGAGGCAGAAAAUGAAGAGAUAGUAGAGAGGUUUCAAUUUUGUUGCUGAAACGAGAAAAAGAAAGAAUGAUAAAGAACAUUAGCGAUAUGUUCAUAGAUUAUGAUUUGGUCGAUAAUUUCUCAUCUAUUUUGUUUCCAUAUCGUUGCAUCGGUGACAAUUUUCAUCGCCUUUCUAGUUUUUGUUAGGGCCAUCUCGCGUUUUUUUCGUCAUGUCCUCUUUGCCGGUUGGCGACGUUCGGGAUGUAAGUAGAAAAGCAUGCAUUUAAUAUGAUUAGUACGACAGUAAUUGUGAUUGCUCAGUACUUCCAGCCCAUUUGUCCGCAGUACAAAUCAGGCAUCCCGUUUUAACAAGUCCUACACAGAAUUAGAAACCCGGAUCUCCCACAGACAGUCCUAACUAGUGUUCAGUUAAAGGGCAGCUAAUGCAUUGUAAUCCAGAAUAAACCUACAGAAAAUGUCCCAAUAAAAAGUUAACACUAGUUCAACUAACUACACAAACUAAAAAGUGUUAUUAUACUUUAUCAAUGAUUUCAUCCUAAUCUUGGCCCUAACAUAGUUAUGCGCUUAGUGUAAGUGGACGCCGCUUAUGAUUUUGGUUGGACAAUGACCAAACAUAGUGUUGUUUCGACAAUAGUCACAUACUAUGCCCUACGACAUUGACGAUUCUAUUGUCUAUGGCUCACCUAUUUAGCGCCACCCAGCAGGGACUUGGUCUGGUACCCAAUUCAGUAUAUCCGCUCCACGUAAUGUACCGUACCUCUUUCGAUUUGUGAUAUAUUACGCGGAACAUUACUCUCUUCAUUCGGAUAGCGGCUAUGUAACCCAUUGGAUUAAAAACCUCCAUCAAACAUGAAGCGAUUAAUCGGAAACUGAAGACUCUAUACCAAAUUUGGCUCAGAGACAGGUAAUCAGUGAGGUCAGUUUUUCUCGUUUGUCAGAGACGAUUGAUACGUAUUAAGACAAACUUUCCACUGCAUCUGCCAGCAAUAAUCGGUGAUCGAUCAACAUUUCGAGUACCUAUACCCCAAUUUACACUAGAAUGUCAAGGAUCACCGCUCAUGCUUUACAAUACAGUUGGAAAAACUAGAGCAACACCUGGCCACAAUGAUGCAUAAAGCACUAAAGCGGACCGGAAGUGUCGGUGAGCCAGCCCCACCAAUCACAAAACCGUUGCUCACAAUAAUUGCACAAAAUGAACAAAGCACGCUUUCCAAACGAAACAAAAUAAAUGAGGAUUUGGUGGCCAAGCCAUCAUUCUGAUGGCAAAUUUAUCCUCGUACGCCACUGUUAUAACCAAAAAGGAGCAACGAGACGACUUCUAAAUAAAACACAUCUGUUUCGAUUAACAGUCAAAACAUUUCUACUUUAUUUCACCUAUUCGGGCACAUCGCUAAGUCUAAGAAUCUGAGCAGCUCCUCGCUCAGAACUCAUUCUCAUGAGAGAUGGUAUUACACCAUCACAACAGGUUUAUCGAGGUAGGACCGAUUAGACAUUUGAACGAAUUUGAAUAUUUUUCAUAGUAUUUGUAGGGGGAUGAAUACAUAAUAGUUGACAAGCAAUCUUUAUUAUUUAAAAUUUUAUUGCAAUCAACUGACCAACUUGGCGUAAUUUUUGUUUAUAUCCUAAUGGUAUCAUGACACUAACAGAAAAAUAUCAGAAGUUCAGUUACAUGUCUCUGUGGGUUUUGGACCGAUGACAAUUUAAGGACACAAGAGAUGAACACAGAGAAGUAGGAAACGAUUAGCGAAAUCAAUUAGGAAAACAAUUUGACGCAGGAUUGACUAUAUUUUAACAUACGGGGUUCGACUGAUUCGAUGAAAAAAAAAAACGACUAACGAGAAGAAAAACAUAUUGAACCAUACCAUAAAACCAAACCAGAAGGCAAAUACAAACCGUGUGACCAUAACACUACAUAGGCAAAUCUCCUGACUGACUGACAAAUUGAAAACUUUCCAAUCUUCUACCGUAACUUUUUGAGUCAGUUGGCAACAGUGUCUUAAUGGAUAUCAUUUUCCGCGUACGGCUGGCAAACUGCUUCUGAAAUAUUGCGCACUCUUUUCUAUAUUCGGGUCUAGUGUAGAGGUUUCAACUCUAUUCAGAGUGCAGUUAGAAACCUAGCAAAAAAAAAUAAAA